UGGGGAAUAUUGGACAAUGGAGGAGACUCUGAUCCAGCAAUUCUGUGUGCACGAAGACGGUUUUCGGAUUGUAAAGUGCUUUCAGCAGGGAAGAAGAAAGUGACGGUACCUGCAGAAGAAGCGACGGCUAAAUACGUGCCAGCAGCCGCGGUAAUACGUAUGUCGCGAGCGUUAUCCGGAAUUAUUGGGCAUAAAGGGCAUCUAGGCGGAUAUACAAGUCAGGGGUGAAAACUUAGGGCUCAACUCAAAGCUUGCCUUUGAAACUGUAUAUCUAGAGUGCUGGAGAGGUGGACGGAACUACACGAGUAGAGGUGAAAUUCGUAGAUAUGUGUAGGAAUGCCGAUGAUGAAGAUAGUCCACUGGACAGCAACUGACGCUGAAGUGC
rnacentral:rRNA from 1 species